rnacentral:rRNA from 1 species
GGAAUUAUUGGGCGUAAAGCGCGCGUAGGCGGUUUUUUAAGUCUGAUGUGAAAGCCCACGGCUCAACCGUGGAGGGUCAUUGGAAACUGGAAAACUUGAGUGCAGAAGAGGAAAGUGGAAUUCCAUGUGUAGCGGUGAAAUGCGCAGAGAUAUGGAGGAACACCAGUGGCGAAGGCGACUUUCUGGUCUGUAACUGACGCUGAUGUGCGAAAGCGUGGGGAUCAAACAGGAUUAGAUACCCUGGUAGUCCACGCCGUAAACGAUGAGUGCUAAGUGUUAGGGGGUUUCCGCCCCUUAGUGCUGCAGCUAACGCAUUAAGCACU